UUCUAGCCCCGAUUGCAGUGGAAAACAUUUUUUUGGAAAAUCUAUUUUUUCUUGGCAAAAAAAAGCGACCAGCGGAAGCUCUUUUUUUGGCAUUAGAAAAAAAGAUUUUGCGAAAAAAUUUUGGAACGGUAAGCGGGAAAUAGC
rnacentral:sRNA from 1 species